CUGCCUCUGGCCGCGCGGAUCAGCUUCCAGCCCAGUCGGCCCGGCCCGGGGGCCAUGGAGCUCCGAGCGGCGGAUCGCGAGCCUCCUGCGAACCCCAGCCUGCACGCCCGGUUAGCAUUCGGCCGGGAGAUGCGGCAGUGGAAUCUGGAAGGGCGGUGAAAAACCUACGUCCUGCCCUCGCCCGGCCUCUCCAUUCGUCCCCCGGGUAGAGAGGUGCCCGGCUCCCACCCCUUCCCAGCCCCAGCCCUGGAGACAGCAGCCCCUAGACUACUGAGGGACAGCGACAGCAUGAAGGCUCCGGUAAGUGGGAAGAAGGAGGACUUCCAGGGAACGCAGAGGCCCCGACUGGCGGAGCAGCUCAGCAGCCUCUCCACCCCAGGACCCACUGCCACUUCUGACCUCCCUACUGCUGAGCAGAGAAGGGCAGAAUGGCCUCAAAGUCCAACCCUGUUCUUGCAGACCGUGUGGCCCCAGGCAGGUGGCAUCCACUCUGCAGUGUCAGUACCUUGCUAUCCCUGUAAAACGGAGGUAACGCUACGAGCUCACCAGGCAAAGCCUACGUGGAACUGGGGUUGUGAAGUUCAGUUCAGCCGCUCUUGUCUUUACUGCAGAAGCCCCGGGCUGUGAGAGAGAGAGCUGGAUGUGGGGGGCAGUUCAUCUCGACUGCCUGAGUCAAGGUCUCUGGUUCCUCAUGGGCAGGGGAGCAGGUGCCAGGCAGAACUCCCUCCCCUG
rnacentral:lncRNA from 10 species